rnacentral:misc_RNA from 1 species
GAUGAAGAACGCAGCGAAAUGCGAUAAGUAGUGUGAAUUGCAGAACUCAGUGAAUCAUCGAAUCUUUGAACGCACAUUGCGCCCCGUGGUAUUCCGAGGGGCAUGCCUGUUCGAGCGUCAUUAUAACCCCUCAAGCUCAGCUUGGUGUUGGGGCCUGCUGCACUGGCAGCCCUUAAAAUCAGUGGCGGCGCCAUCUGGCUCUAAGCGUAGUAAUUCUUCUCGCUAUGGAGUCCUGGUGGAUGCUUGCCAUCAACCCCCAAUUUUUCUAUGGUUGACCUCGGAUCAGGUAGGGAUACCCGCUGAACUUAAGCAUAUCAAUAAGCGGAGGA